rnacentral:rRNA from 1 species
AUUGAACGCUGGCGGCAUGCUUUACGCAUGCAAGUCGAACGGUAACAGGCCUUCGGGUGCUGACGAGUGGCGAACGGGUGAGUAAUGCAACGGAACGUGCCCAGAGGUGGGGGAUAACGCAGCGAAAGCUGUGCUAAUACCGCAUGUGAUCUGAGGAUGAAAGCGGGGGACCAGGCAGCAAUGUUUGGCCUCGCGCCUUUGGAGCGGCCGAUGUCAGAUUAGGUAGUUGGUGGGGUAAAGGCCUACCAAGCCGACGAUCUGUAGCUGGUCUGAGAGGACGACCAGCCACACUGGGACUGAGACACGGCCCAGACUCCUACGGGAGGCAGCAGUGGGGAAUUUUGGACAAUGGGCGCAAGCCUGAUCCAGCAAUGCCGCGUGCGGGAAGAAGGCCUUCGGGUUGUAAACCGCUUUUGUACGGAACGAAAAGGCUCUGGCUAAUACCUGGGGCUGAUGACGGUACCGUAAGAAUAAGCACCGGCUAACUACGUG